UGCAAGUCGAGCGGUAGAGAGAAGCUUGCUUCUCUUGAGAGCGGCGGACGGGUGAGUAAUGCCUAGGAAUCUGCCUGGUAGUGGGGGAUAACGUUCGGAAACGGACGCUAAUACCGCAUACGUCCUACGGGAGAAAGCAGGGGACCUUCGGGCCUUGCGCUAUCAGAUGAGCCUAGGUCGGAUUAGCUAGUUGGUGGGGUAAUGGCUCACCAAGGCGACGAUCCGUAACUGGUCUGAGAGGAUGAUCAGUCACACUGGAACUGAGACACGGUCCAGACUCCUACGGGAGGCAGCAGUGGGGAAUAUUGGACAAUGGGCGAAAGCCUGAUCCAGCCAUGCCGCGUGUGUGAAGAAGGUCUUCGGAUUGUAAAGCACUUUAAGUUGGGAGGAAGGGCAGUAAAUUAAUACUUUGCUGUUUUGACGUUACCGACAGAAUAAGCACCGGCUAACUCUGUGCCAGCAGCCGCGGUAAUACAGAGGGUGCAAGCGUUAAUCGGAAUUACUGGGCGUAAAGCGCGCGUAGGUGGUUAGUUAAGUUGGAUGUGAAAUCCCCGGGCUCAACCUGGGAACUGCAUUCAAAACUGACUGACUAGAGUAUGGUAGAGGGUGGUGGAAUUUCCUGUGUAGCGGUGAAAUGCGUAGAUAUAG
rnacentral:rRNA from 1 species